GCGGCGGGCGGGCGGCGGGCGGCGGGCGGAAGGCAUCACUUUGUCCGGACUCUAAUUCAAAUUGUAUUCAUCCGAUCUUCACCAAACUUGGUCAGCAGUUGCAUCUAGUUGAUAUCUAGGCCAAGUUCGAAUAUGGGUCAUGCCGGGUCAAAAACUAGGUCAUAGGGUCAAUAAGUGCAUUUUCAAAGGGGCCACUUUGUCCGGACUCUAUUUCAAAUUGUAUUCAUCCGAUCUUCACCAAACUUGGUCAGCAGUUGCAUCUAGUUGAUAUCUAGGCCAAGUUCGAAUAUGGGUCAUGCCGGGUCAAAAACUAGGUCAUAGGGUCAAUUAGUGCAUUUUCAACGGCGCCACUUUGUCCGGACUCUAAUUCAAAUUGUAUUCAUCCGAUCUUCACCAAAUUUGGUCAUCACUUUGUCCGGACUCUAAUUCAAAUUGUAUUCAUCCGAUCUUCACCAAACUUGGUCAGCAGUUGCAUCUAGUUGAUAUCUAGGCCAAGUUCGAAUAUGGGUCAUGCCGGGUCAAAAACUAGGUCAUAGGGUCAAUAAGUGCAUUUUCAAAGGGGCCACUUUGUCCGGACUCUAUUUCAAAUUGUAUUCAUCCGAUCUUCACCAAACUUGGUCAGCAGUUGCAUCUAGUUGAUAUCUAGGCCAAGUUCGAAUAUGGGUCAUGCCGGGUCAAAAACUAGGUCAUAGGGUCAAUAAGUGCAUUUUCAAAGGGGCCACUUUGUCCGGACUCUAUUUCAAAUUGUAUUCAUCCGAUCUUCACCAAACUUGGUCAGCAGUUGCAUCUAGUUGAUAUAUAGGCCAAGUUCGAAUAUGGGUCAUGCCGGGUCAAAAACUAGGUCAUAGGGUCAAUUAGUGCAUUUUCAACGGCGCCACUUUGUCCGGACUCUAAUUCAAAUUGUAUUCAUCCGAUC